UGUUGUCACAGAAACCCAAGUAGGAUGGAAAUUCAAGAGGUAGAUGGAGAGAUAUCAGUCAACCUCUAUGAGACAGCCUUUGAUCCCUAUUCCCUCGCCCCAUCCCAAGAUCCAGAAGGUAAAGGAAAUCUCAGAUGCUGCCUGCCUUUCUCUGUCCAGCUAAUCAGUCCAGGUGCUUAUCCAAAAGUCUUCUCUGGAGCCUGAUAUUCUUACACACACCAAGAUUUUACAUUCAGCAUGAAGAUGCAUCUCUCUGGUGGCCGUCCUGAUGAACCUGGGGUUGUUUGAUUGGAUUCACCAUCCCAGCCUGGAGAGCAUUCUGUUCAAGACUUGCUAAAGAAACAGCCUUUGACCUCUGACCUGUGCUUAAAGGAGGACAGAGAAUAUGAGGUUUGGAAGCUCAGUAGAGCUUGAGGAAUAUUUUUUGUUUAGAUUUACAGCAUUUGAGCUCUUAAAAUUAAACUCUCACACGGACUGAAAAGCCUCCAGAGUUCUUGAUUCUAGAAGUGGCUGUAACUCGUCACUAUGUAGUGAAACUUCACAACAGAGUCGAAACAUCUGUGAUACCUCACUGUUGUUUCAGUGCGACUGCAUAAGAUGGUUAUGAAAUAGUCUGAUACUUUAAAAUGGACGCUUGGUGCCUUUAAAUAAUUCAGGAAUGUGAAUAAGUGCCGCUCGACAGAAUUUAUGAUUAUUUUUAUCUAAAAUGUUUGUUUCAGUUCAUGUGUAGCAGUCAAACAAAUUAUGUUUUUAUAUCUAGCAUGAAUUUAAAUGUACAUGUUGGAUUUAUCCUG